GGAACCAGCGAAAGCCUGGCUGCCCACCAGUCACAAUGACAAAGCACAAUGACAGAUCUUCCCAGCUGCCACCACGAAGCACUGAACCUUAAAACACAGAAAGAGAAAGCCAAAAUGGCAUCGCUGGGCUCAAGCCCACAGGUAAAACCUUCUCCAGCUCAGGAAAGGGACUGAAACAGAAGACUUUGGUGCAGCCUGGGAGCUAGAAACCCAAGGGGCGCUGGACCUGAAGUCCUCACCCAUCAUCAGGGCUUCCCGAAGAGACUGCCCAGAUGGCAGAGCAGCCGCGGGUAAAGAGAUGAGAGCUGAGCACAUUCCAGGGAGGAAGAGAGUGUCACAGGAGGCCGAUGGGUACAGUGGGCUUAGGGGCUCUGGGCGCAGUCAGGGUGAAACGCGCGGCAGCUGUCACAGAGGUUCACCAGCUCGGUCCCUCCCUGCCAACCCGGCACACACCCUCAGCUGCACAGCCGCCCAGAGAGAGAAGAGCCUGGCCAAAUUGUACUUUAAAAAAACUUCAUAACUUUGGUGCAUUCACCUGGAAUUAACUUUGGUGUAAGGAGUGAGUGCCCCAGGCUCUGUUCCAAGCUAGGAGAUGCCUCACAACUACUCCAGAGGUCUGUCCAGUGAAAACCUUCACUUCAUAGAUGAGGAUCCAGGAGAUGGAGCUGAUCAAGGGCUGGUGAAAUGCCUGACGGAGUGACCCAGGUCAAGCCUGAGCAGGUGAGCAUGUCCCUGCCGCAGCUGCCCACCCACCAUCCACCGUGGGGAAGAGGAAGUGAUCGGCUGAGUCCAGCCCAGACUGCAGAACCGCGAGCAAAUACAUCGCCGGGUGUGUCUGACAUUUCAGGGUGGUUUGUGUUUCAGCAAUAAAUAUUUGAUAAACAAAAAAAUAAAAUGUAA